GGUUAAGCGACUAAGCGUACACGGUGGAUGCCCUGGCAGUCAGAGGCGAUGAAGGACGUGCUAAUCUGCGAUAAGCGUCGGUAAGGUGAUAUGAACCGUUAUAACCGGCGAUUUCCGAAUGGGGAAACCCAGUGUGAUUCGUCACACUAUCAUUAACUGAAUCCAUAGGUUAAUGAGGCGAACCGGGGGAACUGAAACAUCUAAGUACCCCGAGGAAAAGAAAUCAACCGAGAUUCCCCCAGUAGCGGCGAGCGAACGGGGAGGAGCCCAGAGCCUGAAUCAGUGUGUGUGUUAGUGGAAGCGUCUGGAAAGGCGCGCGAUACAGGGUGACAGCCCCGUACACAAAAAUGCACAUGCUGUGAGCUCGAUGAGUAGGGCGGGACACGUGGUAUCCUGUCUGAAUAUGGGGGGACCAUCCUCCAAGGCUAAAUACUCCUGACUGACCGAUAGUGAACCAGUACCGUGAGGGAAAGGCGAAAAGAACCCCGGCGAGGGGAGUGAAAAAGAACCUGAAACCGUGUACGUACAAGCAGUGGGAGCCUCUUUAUGGGGUGACUGCGUACCUUUUGUAUAAUGGGUCAGCGACUUAUAUUCUGUAGCAAGGUUAACCGAAUAGGGGAGCCGAAGGGAAACCGAGUCUUAACUGGGCGUUAAGUUGCAGGGUAUAGACCCGAAACCCGGUGAUCUAGCCAUGGGCAGGUUGAAGGUUGGGUAACACUAACUGGAGGACCGAACCGACUAAUGUUGAAAAAUUAGCGGAUGACUUGUGGCUGGGGGUGAAAGGCCAAUCAAACCGGGAGAUAGCUGGUUCUCCCCGAAAGCUAUUUAGGUAGCGCCUCGUGAAUUCAUCUCCGGGGGUAGAGCACUGUUUCGGCAAGGGGGUCAUCCCGACUUACCAACCCGAUGCAAACUGCGAAUACCGGAGAAUGUUAUCACGGGAGACACACGGCGGGUGCUAACGUCCGUCGUGAAGAGGGAAACAACCCAGACCGCCAGCUAAGGUCCCAAAGUCAUGGUUAAGUGGGAAACGAUGUGGGAAGGCCCAGACAGCCAGGAUGUUGGCUUAGAAGCAGCCAUCAUUUAAAGAAAGCGUAAUAGCUCACUGGUCGAGUCGGCCUGCGCGGAAGAUGUAACGGGGCUAAACCAUGCACCGAAGCUGCGGCAGCGACACUAUGUGUUGUUGGGUAGGGGAGCGUUCUGUAAGCCUGCGAAGGUGUACUGUGAGGUAUGCUGGAGGUAUCAGAAGUGCGAAUGCUGACAUAAGUAACGAUAAAGCGGGUGAAAAGCCCGCUCGCCGGAAGACCAAGGGUUCCUGUCCAACGUUAAUCGGGGCAGGGUGAGUCGACCCCUAAGGCGAGGCCGAAAGGCGUAGUCGAUGGGAAACAGGUUAAUAUUCCUGUACUUGGUGUUACUGCGAAGGGGGGACGGAGAAGGCUAUGUUGGCCGGGCGACGGUUGUCCCGGUUUAAGCGUGUAGGCUGGUUUUCCAGGCAAAUCCGGAAAAUCAAGGCUGAGGCGUGAUGACGAGGCACUACGGUGCUGAAGCAACAAAUGCCCUGCUUCCAGGAAAAGCCUCUAAGCAUCAGGUAACAUCAAAUCGUACCCCAAACCGACACAGGUGGUCAGGUAGAGAAUACCAAGGCGCUUGAGAGAACUCGGGUGAAGGAACUAGGCAAAAUGGUGCCGUAACUUCGGGAGAAGGCACGCUGAUACGUAGGUGAAGUCCCUUGCGGAUGGAGCUGAAAUCAGUCGAAGAUACCAGCUGGCUGCAACUGUUUAUUAAAAACACAGCACUGUGCAAACACGAAAGUGGACGUAUACGGUGUGACGCCUGCCCGGUGCCGGAAGGUUAAUUGAUGGGGUUAGCGGUAACGCGAAGCUCUUGAUCGAAGCCCCGGUAAACGGCGGCCGUAACUAUAACGGUCCUAAGGUAGCGAAAUUCCUUGUCGGGUAAGUUCCGACCUGCACGAAUGGCGUAAUGAUGGCCAGGCUGUCUCCACCCGAGACUCAGUGAAAUUGAACUCGCUGUGAAGAUGCAGUGUACCCGCGGCAAGACGGAAAGACCCCGUGAACCUUUACUAUAGCUUGACACUGAACAUUGAGCCUUGAUGUGUAGGAUAGGUGGGAGGCUUUGAAGUGUGGACGCCAGUCUGCAUGGAGCCGACCUUGAAAUACCACCCUUUAAUGUUUGAUGUUCUAACGUUGGCCCCUGAUCGGGGUUGCGGACAGUGUCUGGUGGGUAGUUUGACUGGGGCGGUCUCCUCCUAAAGAGUAACGGAGGAGCACGAAGGUUGGCUAAUCCUGGUCGGACAUCAGGAGGUUAGUGCAAUGGCAUAAGCCAGCUUGACUGCGAGCGUGACGGCGCGAGCAGGUGCGAAAGCAGGUCAUAGUGAUCCGGUGGUUCUGAAUGGAAGGGCCAUCGCUCAACGGAUAAAAGGUACUCCGGGGAUAACAGGCUGAUACCGCCCAAGAGUUCAUAUCGACGGCGGUGUUUGGCACCUCGAUGUCGGCUCAUCACAUCCUGGGGCUGAAGUAGGUCCCAAGGGUAUGGCUGUUCGCCAUUUAAAGUGGUACGCGAGCUGGGUUUAGAACGUCGUGAGACAGUUCGGUCCCUAUCUGCCGUGGGCGCUGGAGAACUGAGGGGGGCUGCUCCUAGUACGAGAGGACCGGAGUGGACGCAUCACUGGUGUUCGGGUUGUCAUGCCAAUGGCACUGCCCGGUAGCUAAAUGCGGAAGAGAUAAGUGCUGAAAGCAUCUAAGCACGAAACUUGCCCCGAGAUGAGUUCUCCCUGACUCCUUGAGAGUCCUGAAGGAACGUUGAAGACGACGACGUUGAUAGGCCGGGUGUGUAAGCGCAGCGAUGCGUUGAGCUAACCGGUACUAAUGAACCGUGAGGCUUAACCUU
rnacentral:rRNA from 1 species